GAUUGAUUAUACAGCAGCAGAAGGAGCUCAGACUCACAGCUGAGAGAACGUCAGGGUGAGAGAGAGCACAAGCAAGGGAGACUGUACAUACUGUAGCAUCAGUAUGUGACUGCUGGUGUCUGACAACACCGGUAUCUUGCUCUUGAAGUGGACAACUUGCUGAGCUACCUUUUAGCAUUUGCAAGAGGAUACCAGCUCUUAACCAGUACAACUGAUAACAGACUGGACCUUGGAAUAGUUAAUUUUACUUAUAAUUGCAUCUCUUAUUGCUAUGCAUCUCUGAAGAAGCAGCUUAUUACAGAAGACAAUUCAUCCUGUCCCUGUAGUUCACAUAGCACUGAUAAGACGGAGUUUCAUCUUCCAGCUCUUCAACUUUCCAGGUACAGUUGUGCUGCCAGAAGGACAGUGCAUGGAAAAAACACUUCUGAGUGGUUUUCAGAAGCAGCAGCUUUUUCAUAAUUCCUUUAGGCAAUGGAAGACAAUGUUGUCCCCUUGGAACCUUCUCUUCUUCACCUCCCUCAACCUUUCUUCAUGGGACAAGAGUUCCAGCCCUCUGAUCAUCUUUAUGGUCCUCCUCUGAACACAUUCCAGCAGCUCUGCAUCCUUCCUGUACUGGGGGCCCCAAGACUGGAUGCAGUACUCCAGAUGGGGCUUCACAAGUGCAGAGCAGAAGGGGACAAUCUCCUGCCUUGCCCUGCUGGCCACCCCUCUUUGGAUGUACCUCAGAAUAUGUUUGGGCCUCUGAGCUGCAAGCACACACUGCUGGUGCAUGUUGGUACUACUUUAAAUAAGCAGAAAUAAUAAAGUAACAAUAAUGACGUUAUGACUUAUUAUUCAUGUUUGUUGAAGGGCUUUAGACAGUGGCUGAAUGAAGAAUUCUGUAAGUAAGAUAUCCCAACCGUCUGAGAUGCAUCUUAACCUACCACUACUAUAAAAG
ensembl:lncRNA